GACGAACGCUGGCGGCGGGCUUAACACAUGCAAGUCGAACGGAAAGGCCCUGCUUUUGUGGGGUGCUCGAGUGGCGAACGGGUGAGUAACACGUGAGUAACCUGCCCUUGACUUUGGGAUAACUUCAGGAAACUGGGGCUAAUACCGGAUAGGAGCUCCUGCUGCAUGGUGGGGGUUGGAAAGUUUCGGCGGGUGGGGAUGGACGCGCGGCUGAUCAGCUUGUUGGUGGGGUAGUGGCUUACCAAGGCUUUGACGGGUAGCCGGCAUGAGAGGGUGACCGGCCACAUUGGGACUGAGAUACGGCCCAGACUCCUACGGGAGGCAGCAGUGGGGAAUAUUGCACAAUGGGCGGAAGCCUGAUGCAGCAACGCCGCGUGCGGGAUGACGGCCUUCGGGUUGUAAACCGCUUUCGCCUGUGACGAAGCGUGAGUGACGGUAAUGGGUAAAGAAGCACCGGCUAACUACGUG
rnacentral:rRNA from 1 species